AAUUCAGUAAGUAAGGUCAAACAAAUAUUUACUUUGUCAGGUACUGAGUGACUCUGAGUAUACAUUAAAUUACUCAAAGCAGCUUGGUACCUAACUGAGUGGAUAUUGAAUACAACAAUUUUUGAAA